rnacentral:rRNA from 1 species
CUACGGGAGGCAGCAGUGGGGAAUAUUGGACAAUGGGGGCAACCCUGAUCCAGCAAUGCCGCGUGAGUGAUGAAGGCCUUAGGGUUGUAAAGCUCUUUUACCGGGGACGAUGAUGACGGUACCCGGAGAAUAAGCCCCGGCUAACUUCGUGCCAGCAGCCGCGGUAAUACGAAGGGGGCGAGCGUUGUUCGGAGUUACUGGGCGUAAAGGGCGCGUAGGCGGCGCUCCAAGUUAGGCGUGAAAGCCCCGGGCUCAACCUGGGAAUAGCGCUUAAGACUGGAGUGCUCGAGUGCGGGAGAGGUGAGUGGAAUUCCCAGUGUAGAGGUGAAAUUCGUAGAUAUUGGGAAGAACACCAGUGGCGAAGGCGGCUCACUGGCCCGCAACUGACGCUGAGGCGCGAAAGCGUGGGGAGCAAACAGGAUUAGAUACCCUGGU